UCCUAAGUGGCCUCCGUAGGCGCUCGGGAAGAUGGCGGCGGCCGCUGUGGCGGCCCGGGCUGCUGCUGCAGGUCAGUGAGAAGCCGGGCUCCGCACGGGGAGCACCUGCGGGGCGCGCCGGCGUCCGGCGGGGGCGGUGGGGGGAAAGGCCGGGCCGGGCCCCCAGGGUCACUCUGCUUCUCCCAGGCCCGGCGGCUCCGUCCGCUUGUCCUCGCUUCAGGCCUGGUCCUCCACCCCGCCCCGGUUUGGUCUGGCCCCUCCCCCUUCCCCUCCCCCACGUUAUUAUAGGGGGCGUUGGGGAAGCGGGACUUGGGCUCGCCGGAAACUGCCCAGGUUUUUCCCGAAGGAGAACCUGAGGCUGGGGAGACCGGAGCGCCCUCUGUGGGCAGAGUUCAGCCGCCCCGCGGGGUCGGGCUGGGGAAGGCCCCGCCUCCCGUUCUCCCUCGGAGCGAGGAGUGACAGCAGAGAAAGAGCGAUUUAUGGGGGAGGGGCAGGUCCCAUCAGAUCUGCAGCCCGGGAAGAGCCCCCAGGGAGCCGUCCGGCCCGGGGGAGGGGGGGGGUGCCUGGGACUGGGCGGCGGGGAGCAGUGCGGGAAGCGGGGGGGGGGGGCAGAGGAGGGGGUCAGCGCUAGCCUUGGAAGGGAGGUGGGCGGAGGGAGCCCCUCGGGCUUCAGCGGCUUCGGCUGCAGGGACCCGGGACAGCCGGAGGAGGGCGGCUGGCGGCCCACCCGCUGCUCGGGCCCUAGUCCCUGUUCGGCUGGUCCCGGGCCCUGCCCCCCGGCCGGGCACUGCACGGUGCCCCCCCGUGGCCCCCCUCCCGCCUCUCGGGGGCCCUGGAGCCCCCUCUCCGGGUCCGGCUCUGCCACAGAGCCCCGUCCUGACCCUUACAGGAUCCCGGCGCCCCCCGCGCCCCAGUUUCUCCCCAUUCUGUGCGCCCUUCACCCCUUGAUCCUCCGGGACGUUCACGAGCCGGCGCUGGCCUCGCGGCAGUUCUUUGCAGCGCAGAGGCUGCGCCCGGCCGAGGUCAGGAGGACCUGAGCCCCAGUUGGACCUCGGUGGCGUAUUAGCGGUGCGGCCCUGGCAAGCCCCUUGGCCCCAACUGCCGCCCCCGGAGGAGGAAAGCCGCCUUGGAGCGCUUGCUACGGGGAAUGCUGUGAAGCGCCCGAGCUGAAGGACCGCGUGCCGGUGAAACGGGCCUCCGUCCCGGGAACUAGGAAGCGUGGUGACGGCCGGGACUCCUCCGGCCCCUCGGUGCUCUGGCUUCCUCGGCCGUCGGGAAUUGCUCGGCUUCUCUGCGUCUGGUCUCCUGGCUGUCCCGCCGGCCUUUCAGCCGGAUGCAAGCGCCGCUCGUUGCUCCUGCUGCCGAACAACUUUCACCUGUUAGAAGUCUGGCAUGUGGGCACCCUCCAGCCAUCCUUAAUAGUGUCACCCCUCUGCUACCCACUCUCCUCCGCCCGCCGGCCCGCACUCUGACGUACUGCAGUGUGAGAAAAGGGAAGCGGAAGUCCGUGAAAGCCGUGCUCUUCAGGUUUCUCCGGCUGCACAGCGGCCUUUGGCUGAGGAGGAAGGCCGGUUAUAAGAAGAAGCUCUGGAAGAAGAAGCCGGCUCGGAAGAAGCGGCUCCGGGAGCUAGUGUUCUGCAACAAGACGCAGAGCAAGCUGCUCGACAAGAUGACUACGUCUUUCUGGAAGAGGCGCAACUGGUACAUGGACGACCCCUACCAGAAGUACCACAACCGCACCAACCUCAGAGUGUAGGCCCCAGGGUGCCGGCCUCUGGCGCGGGCCUGCAAUGGCCCCAGGACAAGGUGCCGAAUAAAUCAGACAAAUGGCUCCUUGUGCAUUCUACGUUCUUUCCUUCAGCAGCCAUUUGUCAAGAGUCUACUUGGCAUCGGAACAGAAGUGAGUGCAAGGGAUAAUGUUGUAAAAAAUUACCCUGGCAUGGGUUCUGUCAAUAAAAAGUUAUUUAAAAAUAAAUAAAUAAAUAAAGAGUCUUCUUAGCACUAGGCA
rnacentral:lncRNA from 1 species